ACUGCACUGUUUUAUUACCAAAACCUAUUUAAUAUUCUAUUAAAAAUUUUUCAAAAUGAAUUGUGUAAUUUAUUUUGGUGUGUUAUUAUGUGUUAAAUCUUCUUUCGUGAUAAGUACGAGUCAAUGCAAUAAACAUACUGAUAAAAAUCUACGUGACCAAAAUAAUCCAAUUGAAAGGCCAACAAAAGAACAAAGAGUUGAAAAAAAACAAUAUCAUCAACAUACCU